rnacentral:misc_RNA from 1 species
GUGGAAUCAUCCCCGGAGGAAGAGGCCCCUCCUCAAUCAUUUCCCACACGAAAACAAUUAAAAUACACAAACCAAAACAGCCCCUCUUAAUACUGACUAAUAUAUUAGGCUUACUCAUUAGUCUCCUCAUUAAUGCUGGUUAAUCUUCUUUCUCGCUACACACGCCUUCUUCCCCUCCUUCCCAAUUUCAGUGUGCAAGGAGAGACAUGAGUCUUAGAAAUUCGCAUUUUAAUGUCAAAAGGACUGUUACUUUUCGAUUGUGCAAUGUGUCCAGGUAUUUUUUUUGGUAUUUUGAUAGUUUUCUUGGCUAUGGAAAUAAGGGGUUUUAUUUGUAAGUGAUGAUUUUGUGCUCAGUUACAAAACUGAGUUGCUAGAAAUUUCCUCUGAUGAUCCCAAACUUCAUGUUCUCUUUAUUCCUGGGAAUCCAGGUUAGUUAUUUUUAUGUUUAAGUGGAUGUGUGUGUUUCUUUUUUAGUUCAAUAAUGAGAAUUGUAGAUUAGGACUUAAGAAUUAUGGGUUUUGAUACAGGUGUUGUAUCAUUUUAUAAGGAUUUUUUAGAAUCACUAUAUGAGUUGCUUGGAGGGAGUGCAUCUGUUACAGGCAAAUCUUAUUCUAUUCUUUUGUUGGAUAUCCAAUUUUGAGGUUUGAUUGUUUCUCUAAUUUAUUGCUUCUUGGCAUUCCUCAACAGCUAUUGGGCAUAUAUCUCACACAAAAAAGGUACUUCCCUUUUUCCAAAAUUAGGUUAAAAUGGUGCCAGCAUUUUAUUCUUAGGAUUAUUGGUUGAAUUUCAUGUCUUUGUAUGUACAAUUUCCCUCAGGAGUAUAAAAGUGGGAGUAAAUAUUAUUUUUUAUUUUUUUAAGAACCUAUCAUUUGUUUCACAGAAUGUAUUGAAAGGAACAACAUGAAGAUAAAAUUUUGGAGAAAACAUUUGUCUUGGUGAACCAGAUAACUUUUAUGGACUUGUUUAACAGUAUGAAAGGUUUCUUGCGCAAUGCAAUUAGUUUGCAUAUAUUUUCUCUUUGGUUGACUAGUGGGAGGUAUUUCUCACAUGAAAGUUUUUUCUUCUUAGAACUGGGAGCAUGGCAGGUUAUUCUCAUUACAACAACAAAUUGAUCACAAGGUAUCAUUCUGUUUGCUUUACUGGCCGUCAGCUGAUUAAUGGCCUCGUUUUAUUAAGUAGGGACCUUAAGUAUUUUAGCAUGGGACUUUGUUAGGUUGGAAAACCUUUGCCCUCUGAGGAUAAACACUCUGGAUGAGAUAGGUUUGCUCCUUAGUCAUUACAAAAGCUUAGUGGAUCUUUUCAAUCAAUUUGCUUGAGCUUUGGCCACUGUGCUUGUAAUUCUGGUAAUAGAUUUGAGGGCUUGAAAAUGGAAUUCGACUUAAUGAGAAAUUUCCCUUGAAACAUAGAUAGAUAAUUCAAGUUGCUCGUUUAUUUCAAAAAACUUAUUUUUCUUGGGCAUGCCAACUUUAACUAUCAGUUCAACAUUUCAUCACCUUGUUAAGAACUCUUGACUUUUUUAAUUUCCUACCCAUUUCUGAAAGUAUUCUUGUUUUCAGUUUUUUUUCUUUUUUUUGGAAGAA